rnacentral:rRNA from 1 species
CUCAGGACGAACGCUGGCGGCGUGCCUAAUACAUGCAAGUCGAACGCUUUUUCUUUCACCGGAGCUUGCUCCACCGAAAGAAAAAGAGUGGCGAACGGGUGAGUAACACGUGGGUAACCUGCCCAUCAGAAGGGGAUAACACUUGGAAACAGGUGCUAAUACCGUAUAACACUAUCUUCCGCAUGGAAGAAAGUUGAAAGGCGCUUUUGCGUCACUGAUGGAUGGACCCGCGGUGCAUUAGCUAGUUGGUGAGGUAACGGCUCACCAAGGCAACGAUGCAUAGCCGACCUGAGAGGGUGAUCGGCCACACUGGGACUGAGACACGGCCCAGACUCCUACGGGAGGCAGCAGUAGGGAAUCUUCGGCAAUGGACGAAAGUCUGACCGAGCAACGCCGCGUGAGUGAAGAAGGUUUUCGGAUCGUAAAACUCUGUUGUUAGAGAAGAACAAGGAUGAGAGUAAAAUGUUCAUCCCUUGACGGUAUCUAACCAGAAAGCCACGGCUAACUACGUGCCAGCAGCCGCGGUAAUACGUAGGUGGCAAGCGUUGUCCGGAUUUAUUGGGCGUAAAGCGAGCGCAGGCGGUUUCUUAAGUCUGAUGUGAAAGCCCCCGGCUCAACCGGGGAGGGUCAUUGGAAACUGGGAGACUUGAGUGCAGAAGAGGAGAGUGGAAUUCCAUGUGUAGCGGUGAAAUGCGUAGAUAUAUGGAGGAACACCAGUGGCGAAGGCGGCUCUCUGGUCUGUAACUGACGCUGAGGCUCGAAAGCGUGGGGAGCGAACAGGAUUAGAUACCCUGGUAGUCCACGCCGUAAACGAUGAGUGCUAAGUGUUGGAGGGUUUCCGCCCUUCAGUGCUGCAGCAAACGCAUUAA